UAUGAAAGCAGGCGGUAUUAUUCAAGAAGAUAUACAAGAAGCAUCUCUUAUUGUAGGUGUUACGAGACCUCCAGAGGAGAAACUCCUACCAAAGAAGACCUAUGCGUUCUUUUUUCACACCAUAAAAGCCCAGGAAUCAAAUAUGUCAUUAUUGGAUGAAAUCCUUAAGAUGUGUUACUAUCUUCCUCUGAUGAAGAGCCCCAAUGGUGCAAAACACACCAGGAGGGUGUGAACCCCUUGACUCAAGAUCCUGGGAAAUUCGGUUGAUUGAUUAUGAAAACAUGGUGGAUCAUCGAGGAGUGCGAGUAGUGGCUUUUGGAAAGUGGGCUGGAGUGGCAGUAAACUAGUACGACGUGGUUCAAUACAACAGCAGACCAAAGUAGUUUGAAAACUGUUUUCAUGGUGAAUCUUAAUGCAAUAUUAGAAGACCUAUCUUCUGGGCAUCUGAAAAUCACAGGCCACACAUACCAAACAUUGGUGUACUGGGAG